UACGGAGGGUGCAAGCGUUGUCCGGAUUUAUUGGGUUUAAAGGGUGCGUAGGCGGCUAAUUAAGUCAGCGGUGAAAUUCUACAGCUUAACUGUUAGAACUGCCAUUGAUACUGGUUGGCUUGAGUACAGAUGAGGUAGGCGGAAUUGACAGUGUAGCGGUGAAAUGCUUAGAUAUCGUCAAGAACACCAAUAGUGAAGACAGCUUACUGGGCUUAAACUGACGCUGAGGCACGAAAGUGUGGGGAUCAAACAGG
rnacentral:rRNA from 1 species